rnacentral:lncRNA from 1 species
UGAUCAUCUGUAGUGAUUACACAUAAGCGUGAUAGAGUAAGUUUACAGAAAAUAUAACGAUUUUGAGUGAUUAACCAAUAAACAAAAUGACAGAAAAUAAGGUCAGAAAUAGUAUAAGCACCUCAUUGUCGAAUAAAACGUUUCACAGAAAAGGUAAGAAUUACAGCGUGGAUUGAACUCAUAAACAAAGAAAUAAAAGGAAAAAGAAAAGGAAUAGUGAAAGCAAUCAAUAAAGAUACUUUCAAAGGAUCAUCAUUGCUCCCUUUAUUGCUUAUACUUUCACAUAGAUAUCCGGUGCGUUCAGUAAUUUUUGCCUUGGGAGUACAGCGAUAAUAAAGAAAUAGAAAAAUGUACAAAUAUAUGGAUUUUGAAUACAUUAUUUAGAGUUAUAAAAUAAAAAAUAAUUUAAUUAUUGUUUUUUCUAUGUCUAAAUGUGUGCCUAUACAAAAAUUACCAUUGGUGGCGUAAAUGCAUCUAUAUCGAUAGGCAUUCGUAAUGCCUUGGUGUUAUAUACCCAAUGGAAAUUAAAAAUAAAACCUCACUCACUAGCUAACAUUAUCUUUGCAUGUCAUAG